GCCUUCGUGAUGUAAUGGUCAGCACGCUCGACACGUAUUCGAGAGGUCCGUGGUUCGAGUCCCGGUGAAGGCA
rnacentral:tRNA from 1 species